rnacentral:rRNA from 1 species
AAGCGGUGGAGCAUGUGGUUUAAUUCGAAGCAACGCGAAGAACCUUACCAAAUCUUGACAUCCUUUGACAACUCUAGAGAUAGAGCUUUCCCCUUCGGGGGACAAAGUGACAGGUGGUGCAUGGUUGUCGUCAGCUCGUGUCGUGAGAUGUUGGGUUAAGUCCCGCAACGAGCGCAACCCUUAAGCUUAGUUGCCAUCAUUAAGUUGGGCACUCUAAGUUGACUGCCGGUGACAAACCGGAGGAAGGUGGGGAUGACGUCAAAUCAUCAUGCCCCUUAUGAUUUGGGCUACACACGUGCUACAAUGGACAAUACAAAGGGCAGCGAAACCGUGAGGUCAAGCAAAUCCCAUAAAGUUGUUCUCAGUUCGGAUUGUAGUCUGCAACUCGACUACAUGAAGCUGGAAUCGCUAGUAAUCGUAGAUCAGCAUGCUACGGUGAAUACGUUCCCGGGUCUUGUACACACCGCCCGUCACACCACGAGAGUUUGUAACACCCGAAGCCGGUGG